GACAGAGGGGGCAAGCGUUGCUCGGAAUUACUGGGCGUAAAGCGUGCGCAGGCGGUUAUGUAAGUCAGAUGUGAAAUCCCCCGGGCUCAACCUGGGAAUGGCAUUUGAGACUGCAUGGCUAGAGUGUGUCAGAGGGGGGGUAGAAUUCCACGUGUAGCAGUGAAAUGCGUAGAUAUGUGGAGGAAUACCGAUGGCGAAGGCAGCCCCCCUGGGAUAACGACUGACGCUCAAGCACGAAAGCGUGGGGAGCAAACAGG
rnacentral:rRNA from 1 species